UACGUAGGGUGCGAGCGUUGUCCGGAAUUAUUGGGCGUAAAGAGCUUGUAGGUGGUUUGUCGCGUCUGCUGUGAAAAUCCGGGGCUCAACCCCGGACUUGCAGUGGGUACGGGCAGACUAGAGUGUGGUAGGGGAGACUGGAAUUCCUGGGUGUAGCGGUGGAAUGCGCAGAUAUCAGGAGGAACACCGAUGGCGAAGGCAGGUCUCUGGGCCACUACUGACGCUGAGAAGCGAAAGCAUGGGGAGCGAACAGG
rnacentral:rRNA from 1 species